rnacentral:misc_RNA from 1 species
UCUAUAUUUAAACUAUAAAUAAUUUAAAAAAUGCAUUAAUAAACAUUAACAUAUGCAUAAUGUUCACUAAGUAGCUUUUUUUAUAAGAUUCAUGCGGUAUAAAUUAAAAUAUAUGUACAAUUGAAAUAAUCAAAAGAGCUAUAAAGAGAGACUGCAAUGCGUUAGCCGCCUGAACAAUUCCAAAAUUAGAGCAUUCUGGAUAAUCCAUGGUGCUUAGCCAGAAGUUCCUAAUCACCAAUUAGUAUGGCCAUUGGUUGGACCAUAUCUCCCUCACUUAAUGAAUCUAUUUUAACAUCUACUUUUCUACUUUCUAACUAAUGCAAAAUCAAGCUUUUAUCCCAACCCUAUUGCUUGAAAGCUGUAUAUAAAUAUUUUUUUUAUUCCUUUAAUGCUUAUAAUGUUAAUUUACAGAGAGUGGGCAAAAAAGGGACACAACUUGAAACACAUGUCAAGAUCAAGAAAUUGCAAAAAAAUUCACAUGAUUAUAAUGUAGCCUAAACCAAAUCAGAAAUGAUAUUUGCUAGAAAAUGAAAGUUUACCCAUGGACUAAGCAAUAAAAAAUGUAUUGUAAUGAAAAUUAUUACGAGUCCUGAGGAUUUGUACCUGCCUUCAGCUGGUUAGCGUAG